rnacentral:rRNA from 1 species
UGGGAACGCGAAGAACCUUACCAACUCUUGAUAUGGGUAUCGCGGGACCGGAGACGGUUCUUUCAGUUCGGCUGGAUACUACACAGGUGCUGCAUGGCUGUCGUCAGCUUGUGUCGUGAGAUGUUUGGUUAAGUCCGGCAAUGAGCGCAACCCACACUUUCAGUUGCCAUCAUUCAGUUGGGCACUCUGGAAGAACUGCUGGUGAUAAGCCGGAGGAAGGUGUGGAUGACGUCAAGUCCUCAUGGCCCUUAUGGGUUGGGCUACACACGUGCUACAAUGGUGGUGACAAUGGGUUAAUCCCAAAAAGCCAUCUCAGUUCGGAUUGGGGUCUGCAACUCGACCCCAUGAAGUCGGAAUCGCUAGUAAUCGCGUAACAGCAUGAUGCGGUGAAUACGUUCCCGGGUCUUGUACACACCG